CUGAACAACUGGAUAACAAGGAUGAGCUCAGAACAACUGUUAGUAGGAAUGAGCAAAGAAAGCUCAUGCUUAAACUUGAAUUCUGGCAUUUGCAUCAUUACCAUAUACUCACGUGGGACAAAACGGGUACAUUUUCCUUGCAUGUGUUUAAGCCCACUUUCCAAACAUUCAGAAAUCAGACUUAAAUAAGGAAUUUGACCAAUAGAACUUAAACAUUACUUAGUAGUACUACAUGCACAAGAUGCAAGGGAAGGAAAAAAACUAGACCCGUGCAUACAGCAGAAGACAAACUGUUACAAUUGUCAAACGUGCGUUGGACAAAAUUUAAUGUUUAUGAAAAGUUUUAUUUGUUGUCAUGAAAAUAGUUUCAGAAGCACAUAGUUGAAUGCAUUUUGCAAGGCCAUCUUCACUUGGCCUCCUGAACUUUCUUGGCGUUCUGUUUUUCUUUAGCUUUUUCUACUAAUGGUAUUAACUGUUGAUGUUCUGCUAGAGUCUUUAAUAAUUCCAUGAUGAAAGGCAGGUAGUUAUGUUUUCUUCUAAUGUUUUCAAUCUUGUAUCUUUUUAGUUUUUGGUUCUCUUCUUCAAUUAACAUCUGAUAUUUUGCAACUUCUGACUGUAUAGAACUUAACAUGUUACUACUUUGAUCGGUCUCCAUAGGUUCCUCCUCCGCAAGUUGUCGCUGUAAUUCUGCAAUUCUCUGCUCAUAUAUCAUCUUUCUGUCAGAUACAAUAGCCAUCAAAUUAAACCUUAUCUCACCUUCGCUGUAUUUUUGUAUCCGUUUCUCUAUGACAGGCCGCACAGCACUAAUCCAGUCAUCUUGAUUGCAUGAACCUAAAUCAAUUGGUCCUUCCCUUAAUCCAUCCAGUUCAUACAGCCGUCCAUUAACAGGAACAUAGCUUACGAAGUGAAACGCAUCUUCUUCUUUUGCUGAAGACUUGGCAUCAAACUCAAACAUCUGCUGUCUGGCAAAGCUGUUGUGAACUUGUCGAAUCACUUCUGAGUUGCUUAGUGCCAAGCCUUUCAUCGCAGCAUCAAAACUCUGUGAAAACUCCUUAAAUUCUGACAAAGUCUCUCCUAGACGGAUAUCUUGAUGAGCGCAAUUCAACAACACACUUACUAUGGCUUGAGUAGCACAAGCAUUAUUUAUCACCUGUUUAGCAAAAAAUAUUGUAUCCAGCCUGGAAUCCUGAACAACAGAACCUGCUGGUUCCUCUCCUGGCUGCCACUUGAAAAGGAAUAUCAGCCCAUGUACCGGCUUCAGUUUUUCAAAGUUUUCCGGUUCUAAACUCCAUAUUUCUUCUACUUGUGCUCCUCUACAGCCGAAGCCCUUGAUGAGUUCCGUGAAGACGCCCGGGUCGCUCUCCAUGAGACACCACUCCCCGGCGCUGCUGCCUCCCGCCAUGGCGGCGGCCUGCGCGCUGCCCUCAGGCUAUAGGUGCCACCGACCAGCUACGCCGCAAGACCGAGGCACGCCGCUCGCUUCCCGGCAGGCCCCGCGGCCCACGCCGCACCUGGCAUCUCUAUGGUGAGACAGGGCGGGAGCAGG
rnacentral:lncRNA from 1 species